GCAAUCUGUUAAGUCUCUUUUCUUUAGUAGGGGUAUGUAGAUUGACCUCUUCCAAUCUGUUGGUCUCUAGGCAUCUUAGAGUUCUUAGAUCUCCUUGGGGACAGAAUCCAGCUGCAGGACUUCCGCGGAUUCCGAGGUGGCUUGGAUGUUACGAGAGGUCAGACAGGAACAGAGUCUGUCUGCACCAAUUUCCGGGGCAAGGAGAUCAUGUUCCAUGUCUCUACAAAGCUACCCUUCACAGAGGGAGAUGCCCAGCAGCUUCAGCGGAAGCGCCACAUUGGGAACGAUAUUGUGGCCAUUGUCUUCCAGGAUGAAAAUACUCCCUUUGUCCCUGAC